rnacentral:antisense_RNA from 1 species
CUUGAGGGAGCCCAGCCGCAGCGGCUCGCCGCCCGCGCGGCCCUGCCCGUACGUGGCGAGCAGCGCCUGCGCCUC